rnacentral:rRNA from 1 species
AGUGAACGCUGGCGGUAGGCCUAACACAUGCAAGUCGAACGGCAGCACAGUAAGAGCUUGCUCUUACGGGUGGCGAGUGGCGGACGGGGGAGGAAUACAUCGGAAUCUACUUUUUCGUGGGGGAUAACGUAGGGAAACUUACGCUAAUACCGCAUACGACCUACGGGUGAAAGCAUGGGAUCUUCGGACCUUGCGCGAUUGAAUGAGCCGAUGUCGGAUUAGCUAGUUGGCGGGGUAAAGGCCCACCAAGGCGACGAUCCGUAGCUGGUCUGAGAGGAUGAUCAGCCACACUGGAACUGAGACACGGUCCAGACUCCUACGGGAGGCAGCAGUGGGGAAUAUUGGACAAUGGGCGCAAGCCUGAUCCAGCCAUACCGCGUGGGUGAAGAAGGCCUUCGGGUUGUAAAGCCCUUUUGUUGGGAAAGAAAAGCAGCAGGUUAAUACCCCGCUGUUCUGACGGUACCCAAAGAAUAAGCACCGGCUAACUUCGUG